AAACAUGACCUUGACUCCUUAUGCAUAUUGAUUAAGACACAAGAUCACUGACUAUUUGAGUUUUACUGUUACAGCUGCAUAAAGUUGGCUCUGCACAUGGAUUUCAUGCACUCUGUGCUUCAACUCCA